GAUCCUGGCUCAGGAUGAACGCUAGCGGCAGGCUAACACAUGCAAGUCGAGCGGCAAGGGCCUUCGGGCCCCUAGAGCGGCGGACGGGUGAGUAACACGUGGACAAUCUGCCCCCCGGCCCGGGAUAGCCCAGGGAAACCUGGAUUAAUACCGGAUGAGACGGGACCCGCGAUGGCGGGACCCGGGAAAGGCGCUGCGGCGCCGCCGGGGGAUGAGUCUGCGUCCCAUUAGCUAGACGGCGGGGUAACGGCCCACCGUGGCGACGAUGGGUAGCCGGCCUGAGAGGGUGGACGGCCACAUUGGAACUGAGACACGGUCCAGACUCCUACGGGAGGCAGCAGCUAAGAAUCUUCCGCAAUGGGCGAAAGCCUGACGGAGCCGACGCCGCGUGAACGAAGAAGGCCGUGAGGUUGUAAAGUUCUUUUCGGGAGGGGGAACAACCGUGGCAGGGAAUGGCCGCGGGAUGACGUGAAUCCCGGAAUAAGCCCCGGCUAACUACGUGCCAGCCGCAGC
rnacentral:rRNA from 1 species